UACGAAGGGGGCUAGCGUUGCUCGGAAUCACUGGGCGUAAAGCGCACGUAGGCGGAUUCUUAAGUCGGUGGUGAAAUCCUGGAGCUCAACUCCAGAACUGCCUCCGAUACUGGGAGUCUUCGAGUCCGGGAGAGGUGAGUGGAACUGCGAGUGUAGAGGUGAAAUUCGUAGAUAUUCGCAAGAACACCAGUGGCGAAGGCGGCUCACUGGCCCGGUACUGACGCUGAGGUGCGAAAGCGUGGGGAGCAAACAGG
rnacentral:rRNA from 1 species